rnacentral:rRNA from 1 species
GACGAACGCUGGCGGCGUGCCUAAUACAUGCAAGUCGAGCGCAGGAAAUCGACGGAACCCUUCGGGGGGAAGUCGACGGAAUGAGCGGCGGACGGGCGAGUAACACGUAAAGAACCUGCCCUCAGGUCUGGGAUAACCACGAGAAAUCGGGGCUAAUACCGGAUGGGUCAUCGGACCGCAUGGUCCGAGGAUGAAAGGCGCUUCGGCGGCGCCUGGGGAUGGCUUUGCGGUGCAUUAGCUAGUUGGUGGGGUAAUGGCCCACCAAGGCGACGAUGCAUAGCCGACCGGAGAGGGUGAUCGGCCACACUGGGACUGAGACACGGCCCAGACUCCUACGGGAGGCAGCAGUAGGGAAUCUUCCACAAUGGACGAAAGUCUGAUGGAGCAACGCCGCGUGAACGAUGAAGGCCUUCGGGUCGUAAAGUUCUGUUGUAAGGGAAGAACAAGUGCCGCAGGCAAUGGCGGCACCUUGACGGUACCUUGCGAGAAAGCCACGGCUAACUACGUGCCAGCCGCCGCGGUAA